rnacentral:rRNA from 1 species
UACGAAGGGGGCUAGCGUUGCUCGGAAUCACUGGGCGUAAAGGGUGCGUAGGCGGCUUUGUAAGUUAGAGGUGAAAGCCCGGGGCUCAACCCCGGAAUUGCCUUUAAGACUGCAUCGCUUGAAUCCGGGAGAGGUGAGUGGAAUUCCGAGUGUAGAGGUGAAAUUCGUAGAUAUUCGGAAGAACACCAGUGGCGAAGGCGGCUCACUGGACCGGUAUUGACGCUGAGGUGCGAAAGCGUGGGGAGCAAACAGG